UACAGAGGGUGCAAGCGUUGUCCGGAAUCACUGGGCGUAAAGGGCGCGUAGGUGGCCUGAUAAGUAGGAGGUGAAAUCCUGGGGGCUUAACCUCAGGGCUGCCUUCUAGACUGUCCGGCUCGAGCACAGUAGAGCAGGUGGAAUUCCCGGUGUAGCGGUGGAAUGCGUAGAGAUCGGGAAGAACAUCGGUGGCGAAGGCGGCCUGCUGGGCUGUUGCUGGACACUGAGGCGCGACAGCGUGGGGAGCAAACAGG
rnacentral:rRNA from 1 species